rnacentral:sRNA from 1 species
ACAAUUCAUUUAAACGGCGAAGAGCAGACCCAAAUGAAACUCCAAACUCGGGCAACGAAUGUUUGAUGAGAGUUUAAAGACAAUCAAAAAGGAAAGGAAAUUGUUUUGGUUUUACAGAACCCAUUAUACAACCUCUGGAAUCAUUUUCUGAGUCUGUCCGCCAUAUUAUUGCAGGCACUGGUCUGUCGCUUCAUCAAAACCUGCCCAGUAACCUAACGAGUCAUGGACAGAUUAAAACAGCUAGACAUGUUCUCUGUCUGUGAUGUCUGAAGUGGCAGGUUGUCCUCACUUGACCCAGCGCUCUAUUCGACCUUCAAGAUCAGAGGAACUCCUAGAACAAAUAGUACGCCAAAAUGAACAUUUGUUGCAUUUUUUAUCACACAUGUUAGCCAGGCAAUAGGAAUCUAUUAUUAGGCUUAUUUGAUAUUUCAAUCGCAGAUCAAGUAGUUUCAAAAGAGUUCAGUGUUAUCGAUAGAAACUAUACAGCUGUGGCAAUGAUUUUUCAAAAUAUUGUUACAAGCUUUGCAAAACUUGCUGGAAGACCUAAAAGACCCCUCUAACUUUUUAUUAUGAUCGCCGAGUUCAUUCACCUGAAAUUAAUUUUCGUGUAUUCAUAGCUAUUGCCUUUGAGUGAUGUAUGUUGGGAAUGGUUUGAUUUUCUAUUAUCACGGCACCUGAGACCUUUGCAUUGAGUGUCGUCUGUGUCUACCAGAUUCUUCAAUCAAGUCUGCACAAAAAACAUUUUUCUCAGUACAUAGGAUAGUUCAAACUCGGACACUUGCACUUGUUGCUUCAGAUGAUACUGUUAAUGAUAUUUCUAAGAAAUUCAUCUGCGAUAUCCAAGAGGCGGGAGCGAGGUUGACCAAAAACCCUUGGCUGGCGAAGAUAAAGAAAUUAAAAUAACCCUAUUCAACGAAGAUGGCGAAGAACUAGCCAAAGGAUACCUAUGGGGUGCAAAAUGAAGUAUGCAUUGGGACACAUUAAUAAAAGCACAUCGGUCACGGGUAUUGCUUCUGAUUCAUGCUGACUUUGACCUUUAAGGCGUUUCCAAGGUCACCGCGCACACACACCAUGUAACCUUUACGUGAAUUGAGUUAAGCGACAUCUGUGAGAUUAAGAAAAAUAGUAGAAAUAAUUUGCUGUGAGUGAUGCGCAGGUGACAUAUAAGAUAUACCCAAAACGAACGCAACAGUUGCUCUCUACAGAGCAACAACAGUUGCUCUCUACAGAGCAACCAUUGUGCAGCUCUCUUCUCGGGGCUUCAAGACUAUUAUUAUAUGACGAGCAAUGCAACUAUUUCACAGUCAGUACGGUAACACUCUACGAUGACGAAAAAAUUUGACCUUUUUUUUUUAAUUUGAAAAGCUAGCACUUCCUCUUGAAAGAUUGAAGACCUAGUAUUGAUGAAUAUACUUAUUUUAAAUAUAUUUAAAAGC